CAUUAAGAAGCUAUAGUAGCAC
rnacentral:tRNA from 1 species